UACGGGGGGGAGCAAGCGUUGUUCGGAUUUACUGGGCGUAAAGGGCGCGUAGGCGGUCAGCACAAGUCAGUUGUGAAAUCUCCGAGCUUAACUCGGAAAGGUCAACUGAUACUGUGCGACUAGAGUGCGGAAGGGGCAACUGGAAUUCUUGGUGUAGCGGUGAAAUGCGUAGAUAUCAAGAGGAACACCUGCGGCGAAGGCGGGUUGCUGGGCCGACACUGACGCUGAGGCGCGAAAGCCAGGGGAGCGAACGGG
rnacentral:rRNA from 1 species